CCCGCCUUUGGACCCGAUUUUCGUGCUGCCUUCGCGGUCAGCUCACGCCCCUCCCCAAGCGAGUCGGGAACGGCGACCUGGGCACCAGCUUCCCUGCUGCUCGCUGGCUCAGCGGCCGUGACGACUGCGCGCCUGGCCUCGCUGGGCCUGUAGCAUUGCUGGAAGGGGUGCUGUAAUCCGGAGUACCCUUGAUUCCCUGCUUGCCUUGUGUCGGGUAGUGCUGGAGCUGCCUGGGCCCUGAAAAGCCGAAGGCAGACUGAACAGAGGAGUACACACGAUAACGCAGUCCUGCUAGUUAAAGGGAAAGUGACUUUUUUUUUCUUUUUAAAAAAUUUUUGUUGGGUGAUAACGCCUUCCUCUUUCUUUUCCAGUAACUGGGAGGGAGUUGGUUUACUGCUGAUGGGCGGGACAGAUUAUUGAUGAAGCAAGUGACCUUCCCUUUACUAACCGUGUCUCUUCUGUUCACCUCUGGAGAAUUCAGGACUGAAAAAAUGGCCACACAGAGCUACCGGUUAUACAGUUUGUUUUGUUUUCAUGUUCCAUGGAAUUAUACAAAGCAACAUUUCCCCGUCAGCAACUCUGCACCCUCCGUAGAAACUUUCCAGAUCCCAAAUCUGACGGCCAGUUGGAGCUGAGGCGGUAUGACAGGGAGGGACCACCCCCAGCAGGGUGAAGGUGAGGAGACUGGAGGGCCAGGACACCCACCGGCUGUGAAGACCCAUGCCACCAGUGGGGGGCCCAGCCUUGCCCCGCUGCCCUUCACACACAGGCCCAGCUUGAGAAAGGGAUGGGGAAGGAAGCAGAGGGUCUGGGCAGCACCACGAGAUGGACAGGAACUGCCACAGAGAGAAGAGGCCCCGGCAGUGCGACCGCCGGCCCGACCCAGGACCUGGGGCGCGCUUCUCCCCGCUUUCAAGCCUGCUUCUUCAGUUAGUAAAACGGGGGUAAUAUCUACCUCAGGGACCUGCCGUGGAGGUGAAAGGAGAUGAUUACAUAUCCAAAGCUCCUGGCGCUCGGAAGACACCUGCUACGCAGCCACUACUCUUCCGUGCUGUUCCCGGGAGCACGAUGUUCAGCCUCAUGCUGUUCCAAAGCCAGUUCCUGUCCAUCCAUUGAUUUCUGAAACAAGUAUUUUUUUGAGCUUUGACUCGACUCUGACCUGGACGCUGAGAUAAAAUGGUGAGCGCAAGCGCCGGUUCCUGCCCUCACAGAGCAGCCUGUUGUGCUGCGGAAGCAGGCACAUUGAUUUAAAACCCACACAGACAUAAAACCGUAAUUGAGAGCGUGGUGUUCUGAGCGUUUAACCUAGUCUGGGAAGGCAUCCCUGAACAAGCGAUCUUUGAGCUGAAAUCUGAAGGGCAAGUAAACAUUACCGGGUAUGGAGGUAGAGCCGUGCUCUGCGCAGAGGGGACGAGGUGUGAAAAAGUCUGUGGUACAGACGGCACUGAAAACAGGCCACGAAGCUGCAGGAGAGACAGACCACCUCCGAGGACACAACUGAAACAAAGCGUGACAAGUGGAGUGAGGGCCAGACACGCUGAGAGUCCCUGGUAGAGCAGGAGCAGGGCCUUAAUAAACGACAGUCCUUCUAAAUGA